UAUACUGUUCAUCUCUACUGAUCCAAUACUUGGAUAGGUACUCCUUCUAGUUGCUCAUAGCUGCACAAAGAUGUCCAACCUCUACAGAAUGUCCACACGAAGAUCGAUGCAGAUCAAGCUCCUUGAAAGUGUUAGCUUGCAAGGAUCUUAAAGGCUGAUAUCUUCCUUUUUCUUCAAAAAUCUUGGAUUCUCCAAAGGAAGAAAAGAUC
rnacentral:lncRNA from 1 species